GGUUUUAUCCGGACGAAACGCCACUCAAAACUGAAAAGCUCAAGGUCUCUCUCUCUCUCUGCUGGUUUUCUUUUGCUCCGAUCAUAUCCGUUUUCUACGGACACAAGAAAAAGACAUGGAGUCCAACGAAUUUGAACAUCGUCUGAUAUCUCUGAUUUGACGUUCUGACUCAGUACUACUUUCUACUAGGUAAGUAAGAGCCAUCAAGUUGUCUGACCUUUUGAACCCUUUUUCUGUCUGUUUGGUUCGUUGCCAGAAUUCGAGUGGAAAAGUCUAGUGUUACCAAGCCCCACGGUUGUGUUAAUUUUUUUGCUUUAGUUUCUCAGCAUCCAAACGGAGAUUCCUCUUUUGUUUACUUGUGUGUUUUGUGACGGGAGCUGGUUUAAUUUGGCUCUUCUCGCUUCGUGAGCAGCCGAGUGAAUUGCAAAACAUGCUCCACUCUGCUUGUACCAGUGACUUCGUGCUUUAGUAGACUCAAAAGUUUAGCUCGUUUAAGGUUCUUAUUUCCGGAUAAUCAGGCUCUGUUGAAGCUCUUCCUGUCCUCCUAAAAUACCACCACAUCGUGAACCUUCCGCGUUCUUUGUAAAAAAGUCUGACAAAAUUUCAUGGCAUACUCAGUCCAAAAAGUCCAUAAAUUUGUUCUUAGCGUUUUCCAACCGUUGUAAAAUACCAAUCACAUAAAGUCUGCAACUUGAUCUCUGAGAGUGAGAGGGGAGUUUUCGCGAUGGGCCUUUUGCUUAUUGGGUCAACGGGGCCUCCAAUAAAACGACGGGCAGGUUUGAGGAUAAAACAGGCGGGGCGAGGUUCAUACAGUGGCAGCUAGGGGGAAGCUUUUCCCCAUGUGAUAAUCUGUCUGAGUUUUCUGUUGGUAUUAAUUGACCUUUGUAAAUUCCUUGAGAGCCAGCCAAAGUAAUGGGGACUACUGCUUUGAGACAGUUGUUGAAGAGUCUCUGCAGCAACUCAUAUUGGAAAUAUGCGGUAUUUUGGAAGCUUGAGCACCACGGCCAAAUGAUUUUGAGCUGGGAAGAUGGGUACUGUGGUUCUAAAAAAACAAGAGAACCUCUGCAGAAUAUCUCAGAUGGCAUUGACUAUGAAAAUGUGAAUGAGAUAUUUUCAACAUGUGAAAUGAUCAUAGGUGAUGAUGAUGGAAUCACUGCAAUGGGAUAUCCAUUUGGACUAGCUGUAGCUAGUAUGCCAUCUCGUCAGUAUGCCAUGGGAGAAGGGAUUGUUGGUGAAGUUGCAUAUACAAGGAGCCAUAGCUGGGUUGUCUCUGAAAAUACUUAUACAAGCGAAUUCAACUCUAAGUUAGUUGCUGAGUAUCCAGAUGAAUGGCUACUUCAAUUUGCAGCAGGUAUCAAGACUAUUCUGUUGGUUCCUGUACUUCCACAUGGAGUUCUACAGCUCGGCUCAUUGGACUGGGUUCCUGAAGACCUGGCUAUGGUCGCUUAUGUCAAAGAUAGAUUCAACACCCUUCACAAUGUUGCAGGGAUUAAUGUACCACUCACUUCAAAUGGAGACAUGCAACCUCAAACUUCAUCACCACUAAUGUCUGGUGUCCUGGAGAACUUAGGGGAGGCCUCAGACUUAACCGUUAACCCUCUGAAGGCUGAAGAUUUUAAAGCUUUUGACCACGUUAGACUCAAUAAAAACAAGUUGUCAACUUUAAAUGUAGUGCCAGUGUUGAUGGUUCAAGAUGCUGUUCAAGUAUCUGAAACAAAUAUUCCAAGAAUGGUCAGUGCUGCAAGCCAAAAUGUGAGUGGUCUUCCACCAAAUAGCAUCCUUGGUAUAUCAACCCCUCCAUGCCAAUCUAUAAAUGCUAGCCAGUUAGCAAUGUCAGAGGCUAAGCUGUUUGGAUUCUCUUGUCUGGAAGAAUCAGAGGCUUAUCCUCAAUUUAACAGCUCCAAGUUGGGAGGUUUUGAAGAACCCUCCCACGGAAUCAAUCCUUUGUGCAACGGAUUAAUGACAUUUGGAGACACAAGGGCUAACGAUGCAGAUCAUAAAAGUGCUAGCAGUUUCACUAGCCACCCCGUAGAUUCUGAGCUACACAAAGCACUUCUACCAGCUUUCCAGAAUCAUGCCAUUGAACAUAUGCUGGACACAUCUUUCUCAAUCAGGGAUCCAUGUAGAAGCACAAGUUUAACUCGCAAAAUAGAUCUCUUUGAUGUUAGCAAUCCAUCAUGGUUUUCUGAAGGUGAUGAUGCAGAUUAUCUCUUGGAAGCUAUAGUUGCUAGUGUGUCUAGCUGUUUAGAUGAUACUUCAACUAAUAGAUUCAAAAGUGCUAGCUCAUCUACAACGUUGUUGGGACAAGGUGCCAAUUCCUUCCAGUCACAGAAUCAAUCUGAUCCAAGAGUCUUAAUGAAUGAUGAUUCAACUCCAUGGAGCCAUUUUAGAUCUUCGUUUGUUUCCAGGGACAGAAGUGGCAUUUCUGGUUCAGUUUCUUCCAAUAAUACGAGGAACAAAUUGAUUAAUAAAGAGCAGCAAGAAAAAUGCAAGGGCUCCACACAGCCUAUGAGGCGAACCAAGCUGUCCAAUGCCAUCAAAAGACGAGCUAAAAUUGGUGAAAUCCAAAGGACAAGACCAAGGGACAGGCAGAUGAUCCAGGAUCGGCUGAAGGAGCUCCGACAACUUGUCCCAAAUGGCGCAAAGUGUAGCAUUGACAGUCUCUUAGACCGAGCAGUGAAGCAUAUGCUGCAUUUAAGAAGUGUAAACAACCAGUCUGAAAAAUUGAGGCAAUUGGCACAUCGAAAGUUAUGUAACCAGCCUACUAAGGUCAUGUAUAAGCUGGAAGUAAGAAGCAGAAUUGAAGCGCUAUGCAGGUGGCUGACCAAGAGAACAGGGGAUCAUCUGAAACGAAAAAUGGGUGUCAAAAUGGGACCAGCUGGGCUUUUGAAUUUGGAGAUGGACUUCAAUCAUGUCCCAUAGUUGUGGAAGACCUUGAAUAUCCAGGACACAUGCUGAUAGAGAUGCUAUGCAAUGAACGUGGGCUCUUCCUGGAGAUUGCCCAGGUGAUUCGAAGUUUGGAGUUCACUAUCUUGAAGGGUGCAGUCGACUACCGUUCGAACAAUGCCUGGGCACGUUUCAUCGUCGAGGGCCCGAAAGGCUUUCAUAGGAUGGAUAUGUUCUGGCCUCUCAUGCAUCUUUGGCAGCGCAAAAGGAACCCCAUCUCGAGCAAGAUUUGAUACAAUAUUUCUUUGAUGUAAAUCGUGUGUAAUGGUUUUAUCUUCUAAAGGCCAAACAGUUGCAUUGACGCUAGAAAUGCUUCAUCUUCCAGAGUCUUUGCAUUACAUGGCAAAUUAGCAGUCACAGGUCUAACCCACUCUGUGAAGUAUCAAGUGUAGGGAUUAUUGUACGUUUAUGCAAACAAGACUUUUAUUAA